rnacentral:rRNA from 1 species
GAUGAACGCUAGCGGCAGGCCUAAUACAUGCAAGUCGAACGGUGUAGCAAUACACAGUGGCGCACGGGUGCGUAACACGUAUGCAACCUACCUUACAUUGGGGGAUAGCCUUUCGAAAGGGAGAUUAAUACCGCAUAAGACAGUAACUGGGCAUCCAGUAGCUGUUAAAGAUUUAUCGAUGUAAGCUGGGCAUGCGUCCAAUUAGUUAGUUGGCGAGGUAAUGGCUCACCAAGACGAUGAUUGGUAGGGGAACUGAGAGGUCAAUCCCCCACACUGGCACUGAGAUACGGGCCAGACUCCUACGGGAGGCAGCAGUAGGGAAUAUUGGGCAAUGGGCGCAAGCCUGACCCAGCCAUGCCGCGUGCAGGAAGAAGGCGUUAUGCGUUGUAAACUGCUAUUAUACAGGAAGAAACGACCCUUGCGAGGGGCAUUGACGGUACUGUAUGAAUAAGCACCGGCUAACUCCGUGCCAGCAGCCGCGGUAAGAC